UUUCCGUAGGUGAACCUGCGGAAGGAUCAUUCAUGAGUGAGGGCCCACUGCGUCCAUCCUACAUCCAGAGUUUAUUUUUCCUUGUUGCUUCGGUGAGCCCGCCUAACUGCUGCCGGGGGGCAAUUGCAACCCAGCCCGUGAUCGCCGUACACCCCCUUAAAUACUAUGUGAAGUUUGAAGUCUGAGCGAAAACUAAAUAAGUUAAAACUUUCAACAACGGAUCUCUUGGUAACGGCGUAGAUGGAGAGCGCAGACGAUCGGAACCGAACAUGUCGGUAA
rnacentral:misc_RNA from 1 species